UGGGGAAUUUUCCGCAAUGGGCGCAAGCCUGACGGAGCAAGACCGCGUGGGGGAUGACUGCCUAAUGGUUGUAAACCGCUUUUCUCUAGGAAGAAGGUCUGACGGUACUAGAGGAAUCAGCAUCGGCUAACUCCGUGCCAGCAGCCGCGGUAAGACGGAGGAUGCAAGCGUUAUCCGGAAUUAUUGGGCGUAAAGCGUCCGUAGGCGGUUUAUCAAGUCAGUUGUUAAAGACUGCAGCUCAACUGUGGGCGAGCAACUGAAACUGAUGAACUAGAGUGCGGUAGGGGUAGAGGGAAUUCCCAGUGUAGCGGUGAAAUGCGUAGGUAUUGGGAAGAACACCAGUGGCGAGGGCGCUCUACUGGGCCGCAACUGACGCUGAGGGACGAAAGCUAGGGGAGCGAAAGGGAUUAGAUACCCCCGUAGUCC
rnacentral:rRNA from 1 species